AACAACUCUCAACAACGGAUAUCUCGGCUCUUGCAUCGAUAAAGAACGCAGCGAAAUGCGAUAAAUGGUGUGAAUUGCAGAAUCCCGUGAACCAUCAAGUCUUUGAACGCAAGUUGCGCCCGAGGCCAUCAGGCCAAGGGCACGCCUGCCUGGGCAUUGCGAGUC
rnacentral:rRNA from 1 species